CUCUCAGCUUCCAGUCUGUCACAGUGAAGGGGCAUAAUGGGCCUGAGAAGAUCAACCCAUCUAAAGAGGGAUUUGGAACCUUUCACCCCCCGGAGGAAUCCAGGAUGAGGGAAGCAUAAAUGUGCACAAGUGCACAUUUUCAAGAGCCAUUGAAGUCAACAUUGACCUACUGUAAGAACAAUAAUUUUAAAAAGAAUUUGCUGGACACUGGACCUCUUCAGAAGAAGAUUCUUGACCCACAAGGAGUUGAUUUCCGGAGGGCGCAAUGUUUUCAUCAGCACUAUGGUUGCAUAGGUCCAAAUGCAUUAUGGCACAUGGAUUCUCAUGAUGCACUAAAGCGUUAUGGCUGAUUUAAUGAAUUUAGUCGGCAUAUAAUGUAAAUGGAGGCUUACACAAUGAACUUUACUUUCAAAUAGCAUGGAUUUUUCUUUUGACUUAUUUUCUCAUAAUUUUAUGUCUAUUCAAUUAAAAUGUUUUUGUUUAAUUCAGAAUUAUACGACUUUAUUCUGGUAAAUUUCAAACUUUUUUUCUACACGUUUAUUCUCAUAUAUUGAAAAAAAUUUCUCUCUCAUGGUGGCCGUAAUACUCCAUCGUACAAAAGUAUUGACUCUUCACGCGUUCCUACUUCACAUGAAGAUAAAAAACGUACCAUGUACUCAAUAAUGUACCAAAACUUUGUUGUGCUUUUACUGACAAAGUAAUUUCCCAAUCUACAAAACCCUUAGUAGUCCCCAGCAUCCACACAGGGUGUGUUUUUUUUUAUUUAUUUGCCUUUUUGAUUAAAGCUGGAGAGGAUGACACUGACAAUCGUUAAUUACUACAUACUAAUUACCAGAAGCUCCUUUCAUGUUCCGCUCAAAGAUGUCAAAGAAUGAACUCCCUUGUCAUUUGCUUGGAUUUUCCGAGGCAAAGGACAAACAAACACUAAUAAGGUCUGUUCCUCUCAAAGAAAAGUCACCAUGUAAACACAUCCCACAGAUCCUGAUGAGGUGUACAAGCCAUUUGGUAAUAUUUAGCUCUAUGUGUAUAUCAAAGAAAUAUGCCUAAUUAAGAUGUUGUUUAUUCUCAGUCCUCGUGCUUUCAUCACUUUCAGCAUGGCUCUAAAUGAGACAGUGAAAAGUGCCCAUGUCUGAGACUAAAUCAAAUCAUUUGCAACAUCUCAUGAUGUUAUUGAUAACAUCGCCAAUGCUGGGUGACCAUGAACGGUGCACAUCCCUGUGUCUGUUGCAAUAAACCGGGAAAAUGUA